UUGUCCAACCUUUUAAAAGUAGAGGAUGGAAUCCAAAUAGGGAGGGCCUGGAACAAAUAUAACAACCGAGGAAGGAGAUUCAUCCUAACUGUUUCUAUUCUCCCGAGUAGGGAUAAGGGUAGAAUUUCCCAGCGGGCCAGGUCAGAUUUUAUUGACAAAAACAAUUUCCCAUAGUUUUCUGUAUACAGCUGUGAGUUU